GAUGAACGCUGGCGGCGUGCCUAAUACAUGCAAGUCGAGCGAAUGGAUUAAGAGCUUGCUCUUAUGAAGUUAGCGGCGGACGGGUGAGUAACACGUGGGUAACCUGCCCAUAAGACUGGGAUAACUCCGGGAAACCGGGGCUAAUACCGGAUAACAUUUUGAACCGCAUGGUUCGAAAUUGAAAGGCGGCUUCGGCUGUCACUUAUGGAUGGACCCGCGUCGCAUUAGCUAGUUGGGGAGGUAACGGCUCACCAAGGCAACGAUGCGUAGCCGACCUAGGAGGGUGAUCGGACACACUGGGACUGAGACACGGCCCAGACUCCUACGGGAGGCAGCAGUAGGGAAUCUUCCGCAAUGGACGAAAGUCUGACGGAGCAACGCCGCGUGAGUGAUGAAGGCUUUCGGGUCGUAAAACUCUGUUGUUAGGGAAGAACAAGUGCUAGUUGAAUAAGCUGGCACCUUGACGGUACCUAACCAGAAAGCCACGGCUAACUACGUGCCAGCCGCCGCAGUAA
rnacentral:rRNA from 1 species